UAUGAGGGCUCGGAAACAUACGGAAAUGUUUCAUCAAUUCCGAACGCCAAAACCUCAGAGAAAAAACGACAGCCAUUUACCACGGAAAAACAUGUCCCUGAGCCCUUGGAAACAUCCAGCAAUGUUUCACCAUUGCCUGAUGACGCCACAACAAUAGAGGAAAAACGGCAAUCAGGUUCUGCGGAAAUUCGUACUAACUCUGCGAGUUCCUCAUACGAACCCGUUAGAGUAGAAUGUGACGUUUCCCCGGACGUACCGAAGGACGAAACGUAACAAUUCUGCCAAAAUGCUCAAAAAACACCCCA